rnacentral:lncRNA from 1 species
AUGGAAAACUCUGAACGCAUUCUGAGCAAAGUCCAAACUCUAGCUCAGAUGUACAGCACUAAAGCCAGCACCAUGACGGUCCAACCCUGUAUGAAACGAACUUCCGCUCCAAAGAAUCAAUCCUGGAUCUCGGAUAGACUUCAGAAGCAGACACAAAUACCCUCUGUUCCUCAAACACUCAUUGCCGUCAAAUGCCCAGAGCAAACUCAAGUCAGCACAGGAUGGUCCAAUACCAACGAACAGAGUCCAACACAGCUGAACAUCAGCAGGAAACAGACUAGAGCUUCCAGUCACAACCAGAACCAGGAGGAUCCAAAGACCCAGAGAGAAAGGAGAGGAAAAAAAGACGAGAACUUGACAGAAAAGGUCCAGGAGUCAGCAACGGUGAUCCCUGAGCCGUGGCAGUUUGGACAUGUCACCGUUGGAGAUCAGCCACAACAGACUAACAACAGAGUAAUCCUGUCACGACCAAGGGACUUCAUCUCAGCGCUGAUGAAAGCAGGAGAAGAUCUCAAACUGAACCCAGCCUUCCCUUCUAAUGAGACGCAGAAAACAUCCAGGUCGGAGCAGAAUGAUCGAUUUCCUCGUUACAACUGCUGUAGAGAACCCAUCAUCUAAAAGCAUCGUCGCCAUUCCCGAUUGUUCCCAGCACACCAUACCUGGUUCAUAUCGUUCCGAACAUGGAACGAAGAACACAACAAUGAGCAGGAAACGUCCACUACAGAGGAGCAGUUUUCCAGAGAUGUCAGCACUGAGCCGGAUUAUUCGGUUUGCACAGAAACUGCCCAGGAGAGCUGGGAAUGAUGCAGAACACAUACACCCAAACCUCCAGGAUGGUUCAGUCACACCCGACCACUGGACGAGUUCCAACAUCUCACAGAGAGACGGACUCCAGCCCUACAGAGUCCACAGUCACACCUUCAGGAGACAAGUUCAACAAAUUCGUUGAUCGCAACCUGAGAGACGAAGGAUUAACAACUGCAAACCCCGCCCACUUACUUCAGUCCAUCGACAGCCUACAGACGUUCACCAGCAGGAAAACCAAAGACCAACCGUCCAUUACACCGGGAAAACCGACCAAAGGUAAGACACUCUAUCAAGAAUCCUCUUCCAUAACAAUCCCGCUGUUGUCUUUUAGUGGCUUUUCAAGCAUUU